rfam:Cricetulus griseus cell line CHO-K1, whole genome shotgun sequence.
AAGGGAGGGGCUCAGUGGUUAAAAGCACUUGUUUCCCAUGCAAAGAACCUGGGUUCAACUCCCAGCACCCACA